rnacentral:rRNA from 1 species
CGCCUUUUGAACUAUCAACAUAAAAGGUCCUGCCUGCCCAGUGACAUCUGUUUCAACGGCCGCGGUAUUAUGACCGUGCAAAGGUAGCGUAAUCACUUGUCUUUUAAAUAAGGACCAGUAUGAAUGGCAAAACGAAACCUAACUGUCUCCCUAAGUUAGUCAAUAAAAUUGAUCUUCCCGUGCAGAAGCGGGAAUUAUAAUAUAAGACGAGAAGACCCUGUGGAGCUUUAAACUUAAACUAACAAACUAUAAAUGUACUAGCAUCAGGUUUUAGGUUGGGGCGACCAUGAGGUAUAACACAACCCUCAAGACGAAAACUAAGAAGGACACUUCAAAUAAAUAUUAAUAACGCAAUUGACCCAAUAAUUGAUCAACGAACCAAGUUACCCCAGGGAUAACAGCGCAAUCUACUCAAAGAGCCCUUAUCGACGAGCAGGUUUACGACCUCGAUGUUGGAUCAGGACCCCCAAAUAAUGCAACAGUUAUUAAAGGUUCGUUUGUUCAACGAUUAAAGUCCU